AAAAAAGACACAGAGCCCAACGCAAACCCGAACGCGAGGCUGCUCGACACACUGGGAGCCAAGAAGUCCGCUCAGCGGCUCAGUGACACACUUCUACUUCACACGGAAGGUACACGAAGCUUGACGUAUCAAGUCUUUCCAGAAAGGGACAUAUGCACUUCGAGUAGAUAAGUUGAUUAACCAUCUGUUUACUGACCCAAGAACAACUCUGCAAGACUAACCAGAAGGCCUCAUGUUCACUUUGAACAGACUGAUGAAGCAGAGGAGGACACCUGGUGCAGACUCUGAGAAGAGUCAAGCGCUGCAUCUACAUUUCAGCAAACAAUUUGAGUCUGUCUUGACAGUUUCUCGGCGGUUCAACUGAAAUUCAGAAUCCCCGGGCUAAUGUGUCAUUUACAGCAUAUGAGAUCUAUACGUGGCAUAAACCAUAUAAACAGGAUAUGGGGUCUCAAUUAUGAAGGCCGCGUUCUAUGCCCACCUGGAAGGCAAUCUCUACCAGCGGGCCACCAAAUGCAUGCAUGCACUAAUCCUGUCUUACUGUCUUUCCUUCAACAAAAUUAACAUUAAAGUACAAAAGGCAUA
rnacentral:lncRNA from 1 species